GGACAACAUACCAGGAACUAUUAAUAAAAUGCAAUAAAUAAAUUCCAGAAAUAUACAGUCUUUCCUGCAAGGCCGCAGACGAGAGAGGAAUGAGGAGAGGAUGAGCCCAGCCUCGAAAAGCUCACCGCGUUGUUUGUAACCCUCAGGAAUAGAAACAGUUCAGGGAGCUUCUGCUCCCAGGCCUCACACAGUGCACCAGGAAAGUUUAAACACAAGAAUUUCUUGAGACUCUGCCUUUCCUAUCCAUCAAUGCACACACCUAAGGAGGAAGGGGCCAGAGAGGGAGAGAUUGACAGCAGGGGCAAAAUCCUGGUGCUGGAGCAGGCAGGGCGGUUGGGCCUCCAUGCACAAAGCAGCAUGGAGCCUGGGCAGGUGGUGGGACCCAACUUCCCUGGAGGUGGGAGAAGGGAGAGGAGGGGAAAGACGCAAAGAGCCUUGAGGUAGAGGAGGAAGAGAAUGGGACAAAGGAAAGGUCAUCUGCAGAGAGGAAGCGGGAGACAGAGACGGCUGGUAUUGGUGGUCUGGUCUAAAUUCUCAAGUAAAUAUCUGGCAAUAUUUUAUGCUAUUUUUUCAAAUAUAUGGGUAUGUUUGCCAAAAUAAAUAAUUGAUACUAAUAAAAGUAAGAGUUGCUACCAUUUAUAGAGAAUCCACUAUGUACAAUAUUAGACAUGUUUAAUUUAAUGAAUCAUCUUUUUUCUUCACAGCAGACUGUCAGGCAGGAAUUAUUAUUUCCAUUUUUACACAAGAGGUGUCAGAGAGGUGAAGAGAUUUCUCAAAGUCCAACAACUAAUAAGACCGAACUCUGUAAAGCGAGAAAGCAAGGAGACAGAAAGUCAGGAAGAUGGACGCAACAAAACAGGACCUGUCACGUGAAUUUAUUAGGAUAAAUAGGUGAGCCAAGGCACAUCACGGCCUCAUCACAGGACCAGGAAUAGAUUUCUUCUUCAUACAUCUCUCUCCUCGACAUCACAGGACGAGCAUGGGCAGCAUCUCACCUGUCUCCAUCUGCUGCCCUCAACUUGACUCCUCUCCAAGCACCAAAAACAGUCCCCUGUUCUUCGGAGGCACUCAAACAUUUGUGGACUUGAAAUCAAAUUAAAUAAAGCCUUAUUGGAUAAAAGCUGUUCCCGACUG
rnacentral:lncRNA from 1 species